GAUGAACGCUGGCGGCGUGCCUAAUACAUGCAAGUCGAGCGAACGGACGAGAAGCUUGCUUCUCUGAUGUUAGCGGCGGACGGGUGAGUAACACGUGGAUAACCUACCUAUAAGACUGGGAUAACUUCGGGAAACCGGAGCUAAUACCGGAUCAUCUUUUGAACCGCAUGGUUCAAAAGUGAAAGACGGUCUUGCUGUCACUUAUAGAUGGAUCCGCGCUGCAUUAGCUAGUUGGUAGGGUGACGGCGUACCAAGGCGACGAGGCAUAGCCGACCGGAGAGGGGGGUCGGCCACACUGGAACUGAGACACGGUCCAGACGCCUACGGGAGGGAGCAGUAGGGAAUCUUCCGCAAUGGGCGAAAGCCUGACGGAGCAACGCCGCGUGAGUGAUGAAGGUCUGCGGAUCGUAAAACUCUGUUAUUAGGGAAGAACAUAUGUGUAAGUAACUGUGCACAUCUUGACGGUACCUAAUCAGAAAGCCACGGCUAACUACGUG
rnacentral:rRNA from 1 species